rnacentral:lncRNA from 13 species
AUGUUAUUUUUUAUUUUUUUACAUAUAGUACGUUUUGCUCUGACACCAAGUUGUCCCUCUGCAGUUCUCUGUGGGAAUGAGUUGGUAGAUACAGUUGAAGUCGGAAGUUUACAUACACUUGGGUUGGAGUCAUUAAAACUCAUUUUCAACCACUCCACAAAUUUCUUGUUAACAAACUAUAGUUUUGGCAAGUCGGUUAGGACAUCUUCUUUGUGCAUGACACAAGUCGUUUUUCCAACAAUUGUUUACAGACAGAUUAUUUCACUUAUAAUUCACUGCAUCAAAAUUCCAGUGGGUCAGAAGUUUACAUACACUAAGUUGACUGUGCCUUUAAACAGCUUGGAAAAUUCCAGAAAAUGAUGUCAUGGCUUUAGAAGCUUCUGAUAGGCUAAUUGACAUCCUUUGAGUCAAUUGUAGGGGUACCUGUGGAUGUAUUUCAAGGUCUACCUUCAAACUCAGUGCCUCUUUGCUUGACAUCAUGGGAAAAUCAAUAGAUAUCAGCCAAGACCUCAGAAAAUAAAUUGUAGUCCUCCACAAGUCUGGUUUAUCCUUGGGAGCAAUUUCCAAACGCCUGAAGGUACCACGUUCAUCUGUACAAACAACAGUAUGCAAGUACAAACACCAUGGGACCACACAGCCGUCAAACCGCUCAGGAAGGAGGCGCGUUCUGUCUCCUAGAGAUGAAUGUACUUUGGUGCGAAAAGUGCAAAUCAAUCCCAGAACAACAGCAAAGGACCUUGUGAAGAUGCUGGAGGAGAUAAGUAUAAAAGUAUCUAUAUCCAGAGUAAAAAACUCCUAUAUCGACAUAAUCUGAAAGGCCGCUCAGCAAGGAAAAAGCCACUGCUCCAAAACAACCAUAAAAAAGCCAGACUACGGUUUGCAAAUGCACUUGGGGACAAAGAUUGUACUUUUUGGAGAAACGUCCACUGGUCUGAUGAAACAAAAGUAGAACUGUUUGUCCAUAAUGACNNNNNNNNNNUUACAGGAAAAUAAUGUCUCAAUGUGUUUUGGUGUCAAUAUGAACCAUUCUUUUGGACCAAACCACAAAUGUAAAUAGCUAACUGCUUGCCAGAGAGGAAGAUGUGAUCUCGCAACUUUGUUGUCGGGAAAGUCAGGGGGAGGGGCUUGGUGUGUGUAAGUCAUUGAGAAAGAGGCAAAGCAAGAGGUUUCACUCUCGCUAAAUUCUCACUCUCGCUAAAUUCUGUCCAAAAUAAGCCCAAUGCGUUUCUAUGGGCUUGUUUUGGACCUAACCUUGUUGCCUGCCUUCCUGCCUUUGGGACAACGACUCCCAUUGUUAGGGUGGAGACGUGCAUCUUGUCAUUAUAUACAGAUCUCUGGUGUAAAUGGGAAGGUGCACACGGCACAGAGGAGCAAAAAUACAAUUUGACAACAAGAGGACAUACACACUCAUAAAAAUUAAAGUAAAUACAGGCAUUUGGAAUUUAGCUCAAAAAUAUACAUUUUAAUUAAUUCUACACUGCUCAAAAAAAUAAUGCUCCUGAUGAGGUGGCGGAUGGUCUCCUGAGGGAUCUCCUCCCAGACCUGGACUAAAGCAUCCGCCAACUCCUGGACAGUCUGUGGUGCAACGUGGCGUUGGUGGAUGGAGCGAGACAUGAUGUCCCAGAUGUGCUCAAUUGGAUUCAGGUCUGGGGAACGAACGGGCAGGCCAGUCCAUAGCAUCAAUAGCUUCCUGACACUCCAGCCACAUGAGGUCUAGCAUUGUCUUGCAUUAGGAGGAACCCAGGGCCAACCGCACCAGCAUAUGGUCUCACAAGGGGUCUGA